GAUGGUUUCGAUCGUAGUGGGAAGGCGCGUGGGCAAGGUGGCUUAGGCUGCCAGGCGAAAGCACCCAUGCGCGGUAAGCCGGCCCCGGAUGGGGCCUUUUUUAUGC
rnacentral:sRNA from 1 species